GAUGAACGCUAGCGGCAGGCUUAACACAUGCAAGUCGAGGGGCAGCAUAAUGGAUAGCAAUAUCUAUGGUGGCGACCGGCGCACGGGUGCGUAACGCGUAUGCAACCUACCUUUAACAGGGGGAUAACACUGAGAAAUUGGUACUAAUACCCCAUAAUAUCAUAGAAGGCAUCUUUUAUGGUUGAAAAUUCCGAUGGUUAGAGAUGGGCAUGCGUUGUAUUAGCUAGUUGGUGGGGUAACGGCUCACCAAGGCGACGACACAUAGGGGGACUGAGAGGUUAACCCCCCACACUGGUACUGAGACACGGACCAGACUCCUACGGGAGGCAGCAGUGAGGAAUAUUGGUCAAUGGACGCAAGUCUGAACCAGCCAUGCCGCGUGCAGGAUGAUGGCUCUAUGAGUUGUAAACUGCUUUUGUACGAGGGUAAACGCAGAUACGUGUAUCUGUCUAAAAGUAUCGUACGAAUAAGGAUCGGCUAACUCCGUG
rnacentral:rRNA from 1 species